GGAGAGAUGCCGGAGUGGUUGAACGGGGCGGUCUCGAAAACCGUUGUGGGACAUUGUUCCACCGAGGGUUCGAAUCCCUCUCUCUCCGCCA
rnacentral:tRNA from 1 species